UGGGCCAUAUUUUUUUAUACUCACAGGCCUUGAAGCAUAAUCACAUACAUUAAAUGACCUGAGUUGCUAAUUGUUACACUUGAAGAAUUCCAUAAACUUGAGCAGAGAACAAAAUUGCCUUACGGCUAAUGAGUUUUGCGGCAAAAUGGUUGACGGCAAAGAAUUUACAGCCCAAGUCUUGGCACGGUCGGCUUGCACACAGCGAGUGCUCAGUAGAUACAGGGUACUGAAUUCGCUAAUGUCCUGCAGAGAAAACUGGCUGUUGGACUUUAAGUGUAUGUGCUGGAUUUAGGAGCCGCUGAUGGUAAAAAUGUAAUUUAAGAAGACUACAAAUAUUUGCACAGAAACAGUUUGCCAACCCCUCUUCUUGAACAUGAGAGGAAUGAGCAAGAAGUUUGAUUUUGUCCCACUUGUUCUCUGUGCUAUGAGGAUGCAAGAAUCAUCAUUUCCGAAUUUGAAGGACAAACCAGGCACUAGGCACAGGCUUCCAAAAUAAGAGCGAAAUGAGGACAUUCUGUGGU